rnacentral:rRNA from 1 species
CCUACUGGAGACAUCAUUGAGGCAUCUUGGUCAAUGGGCGCGAGCCUGAACCAGCCAAGUAGCGUGAAGUCUUCCUUCCCUCCUUUUUUUCCCCUUCUUUUCUCCCUUCCUCCCUUUAUUCCCUUUUGCCUUUUUGUAUGUACUUUAUGAAUAAGGAUCGGCUAACUCCGUGCCAGCAGCCUCGGUAAUACGUAGGAUCCGAUCGUUAUCCGGAUUUAUUGGGUUUAAAGGGAGCGUAGGCGGAGCGUUAAGUCAGUGGUCAAAUUGAGGGGCUCAACCCCUUCCCGCAAUUGAAACUGGCGCUCUUGAGUGGAAGAGAAGUAUGCGGAAUGCGUGGUGUAGCGGUGAAAUGCAUAGAUAUCACGCAGAACCCCGAUUGCGAAGGCAGCAUGCCGGCUUCCUACUGACGCUGAAGCACGAAAGCGUGGGGAUCGAACAGGAUUAGAGAAAAGAGUAGUC